rnacentral:lncRNA from 1 species
AUGCCUUGCCAGCAGCAGCACCCACCUCUCCAACCACAUUAUGGUUUUGCUCUUUCUGUGAACAGCUGGACUUUCACUUGGAUUGAAGAUGGAGGAGCAGUUAUAUAUACUCACAAAUCAAAUUCAGCAAGUAUUGAUUCAAACUUUCUGAGAACAAAGACUAUUCUUGGUGUUAUACAUAAAACAAAGGAGAAAAAAGGACAGAGAAAGAGAGAGAGAAGAGAGGAGAGAGAGAUGGAGGAGAGUGAGACACAGAGAGAGAGAGAGACAGAGAGAGAGACAGAGACAGAGAGACAGAGACAGACUGCGCUGGACUCUUAUAAUCUGGAAGUGAGGAUAUAAGUACAGACACAAGUGGCUCUGAUGGAAAACACGGAUGUCAUGUGUUCCAAUGGACAUACUCAAUUAGUGUGUUUUAGAGCCAGAUUCAAAUACAGGUUGUCUGAAGGCUCCUAAAAGUUAGCAUGGAUUCUGAUGGGUUUAGGGUGGUUACUAGAAGGGUAUGGGCUUCAAUCUGGUUUUUAAAAAAUGGAACCUUAGCAAAUGAAGUCAGCAAGCAUAUUUUGGUAGCAGAAAGAGCUUGGGCCAAGGUGCAGAGCUGGGUGAUAUUUAUUUUAUUUCAUAGGUACAAUAGAUUCCUAUGAUUAGAGCCAUGGAGGAAGCAGAAGUCUCAGACAGCAAUCAUGAAGAUCUUUGCUAAUAGAUUCGUACUGUAUUUUCUAUGUGAUACAGGGAUUUGAGUAGGCAAUUGCUAUGGAACAUUUAGAGGACAUAGUUUAGGUAUAAACAAUAGAAUAGUUUCCUUGAAAUUCUUGAGGAAUAAUAGAUUCUUUAAGCUAAAAGGAAGAUUAGAGAUUAUCUAUUGAGCAAGUUUGUAUUGUUGUUUUAACACAGUGGAAACCUCCUUUCAAAUGACAUAUUUCACAAAUGCCUCAUCUAUAAAGCAGACAGAAGAGUGGUUUAUGGUGGAAACAUGAUGAGUAGAGUUGUACAUUUGCUGUGUCCUCUUUCUUCACUCUUGUAACAAUCCUCACAGUGCCUGCAAACAAAGCCUCAAAAUCAUGCUAUUUUAAAGGUGAAGUAACUCAAAAGAGAUGAAAACAUAUGAUACAAAAGACAUGUACAGUAGUGUUAAUAGCAGUCAUUUAAAAUAGCUGAAAACUGGUUACCACUCCUCCAUUGUAUCAACAGGAGGAUAGAUACACAAUUGUGUUCUAUUUGUACCAUGGCAUACUGCUCAGCAGUAAAGGAGUGACCUACUGAUACAUACAACAGCAUAGGUGAAUCUCCAAAACAUUAAGUGAAAGAAACACAACGCCAAAAGAAUACUCUCUCAAGUUCCAUUUAAAUGACAUACAAUAACACAUUUGAUUAAAUAUGGGGAAGAAAAUUAGGAAAUGGUUGCCUGGAUGGCAGGGAGGAGAAGUGAUUCAAAAGCAGCACAAGAGAACUUUCUGGACUAUUGGAAGUCUUCUGUAUCUUAUUUCGUUGGGUGAUUACUUUUUUGUAUUCAGUAAUCAAAACUCAUCAAAUGGAAUACCUCAUAUGUGUUCAUUAUAUUGUAUAUCAA